GAUGAACGCUGACAGAAUGCUUAACACAUGCAAGUCUACUUGAAUUUGGGUUUUUUAACUUAGAUUUGGGUGGCGGACGGGUGAGUAACGCGUAAAGAACUUGCCUCACAGUUAGGGACAACAUUUGGAAACGAAUGCUAAUACCUGAUAUUAUGAAUAUAUGGCAUCAUAUAAUUAUGAAAGCUAUAAGCGCUGUGAGAGAGCUUUGCGUCCCAUUAGCUAGUUGGAGAGGUAACGGCUCACCAAGGCGAUGAUGGGUAGCCGGCCUGAGAGGGUGAACGGCCACAAGGGGACUGAGACACGGCUCUUACUCCUACGGGAGGCAGCAGUGGGGAAUAUUGGACAAUGGACCAAGAGUCUGAUCCAGCAAUUCUGUGUGCACGAUGACGUUUUUCGGAAUGUAAAGUGCUUUCAGUUGGGAAGAAAAAAAUGACGGUACCAACAGAAGAAGUGACGGCUAAAUACGU
rnacentral:rRNA from 1 species